rnacentral:rRNA from 1 species
GCUCAGAUUGAACGCUGGCGGCAGGCUUAACACAUGCAAGUCGAACGGUAGCAGGAGGAAGCUUGCUUUCUUGCUGACGAGUGGCGGACGGGUGAGUAAUGCUUGGGAAUCUGGCUUAUGGAGGGGGAUAACUACUGGAAACGGUGGCUAAUACCGCGUAAUAUCGGAAGAUUAAAGACUGGGACCUUCGGGCCAGUUGCCAUAAGAUGAGCCCAAGUGGGAUUAGGUAGUUGGUGGGGUAAAGGCCUUACCAAGCCGUCGAUUCUCUAGCUGGUCUGAGGAGGAUGACCAGCCCACACUUGGAACUGAGACACGGUCCAGACUCCUACGGGAGGCAGCAGUGGGGAAUAUUGCACAAUGGGGGGAACCCUGAUGCAGCCAUGCCGCGUGAAAUGAAGAAGGCCUUCGGGUUGUAAAGUUCUUUCGGUGGUGAGGAAGGUAUCAACUUUAAUAGAGUUGGUAAUUGACGUUAGCCACAGAAGAAGCACCGGCUAACUCCGUGCCAGCAGCCGCGGUAAUACGGAGGGUGCGAGCGUUAAUCGGAAUGACUGGGCGUAAAGGGCACGCAGGCGGAUUGUUAAGUGAGAUGUGAAAGCCCCGGGCUUAACCUGGGAAUUGCAUUUCAGACUGGCAAUCUAGAGUAUUUUAGGGAGGGGUAGAAUUCCACGUGUAGCGGUGAAAUGCGUAGAGAUGUGGAGGAAUACCGAAGGCGAAGGCAGCCCCUUGGGAAUAUACUGACGCUCAUGUGCGAAAGCGUGGGGAGCAAACAGGAUUAGAUACCCUGGUAGUCCACGCUGUAAACGAUGUCGAUUUGGGGAUUGGUCUUUAAGACUGGUGCCCCGAAGCUAACGUGAUAAAUCGACCGCCUGGGGAGUACGGCCGCAAGGUUAAAACUCAAAUGAAUUGACGGGGGCCCGCACAAGCGGUGGAGCAUGUGGUUUAAUUCGAUGCAACGCGAAGAACCUUACCUACUCUUGACAUCCAUGGAAGUUCGCAGAGAUGUGAAUGUGCCUUCGGGAACCAUGAGACAGGUGCUGCAUGGCUGUCGUCAGCUCGUGUUGUGAAAUGUUGGGUUAAGUCCCGCAACGAGCGCAACCCUUAUCCUUUGUUGCCAGCGAUUCGGUCGGGAACUCAAAGGAGACUGCCAGUGAUAAACUGGAGGAAGGUUGGGGGAUGAACGUCAAGUCAUCAUGGGCCCUUACGAGUAGGGCUACACACGUGCUACAAUGGUGCAUCACAGAGGGAAGCGAUAGUGCGAGCUGGAGCGAAUCUCACAAAGUGCAUCUAAGUCCGGGAUUGGAGUCUGCACUCGACCCCUGAAUCCGAAUCGUAGAUCCAAUCAAAUUGCGGAUCCGUCC